rnacentral:rRNA from 1 species
UACGUAGGGGGCGAGCGUUGUCCGGAAUCACUGGGCGUAAAGGGUGCGUAGGCGGUCUGUUAAGUCCUGUGUGAAAUCUCCCGGCUCAACCGGGAGGGGCCAUGGGAAACUGGCAGACUGGAGUGCCGGAGAGGGUCGCGGAAUUCCAGGUGUAGCGGUGGAAUGCGUAGAUAUCUGGAGGAACACCAGUGGCGAAGGCGGCGCCCUGGCUCGCAACUGACGCUCAGACACGACAGCAUGGGGAGCGAACGGG